rnacentral:rRNA from 1 species
AUGGGGUCAGCGGAGACACCCGCCACCACUCGGCGAAUAGACCCCGCUGCCGACCUCAGGGAGGCGACGGAGCGGAAUGCGCAGGAGAAGCGCAACGAAGAAGAAGCCCUUCGCCUGGAGAAGGCGGAUGCCGACAGGGCGGAGGCCUUCGCUAAGAAAAAACUAGCGGAGGCCGAAGCCGCCGCCGCGACGAAGCAGCAGGCUGAGGAAGCCGCACGCCGCCAGUCGGCCUUGCUUGUUGCCCCGCUAAACUCUACGCCGCCGCCCCCGGAGUUCACGGGGCAGACUGGAGAAGCCGGCGGGGAGAACCUCGUCGAGGAGAGGGAAGGCGGCGAGCCCUCUACUCCGGGUGCGAACGUUCCGCUGCCGCCUCCGCCGCCGUCUGAAGGCAUGCAGGGCGAGCAGCCAGCGGACCCUCCGGUGCCGCCGACCGAAGACGAGGCCGUGGCGAGGCUACUCCAGGUCGGCUCGCCAGCGCGCCGUCGUCUGGAGAAGGCGACUUCGGCACCCCGCCCCUGGAAGCCGGCACCGCCAGCUCGGCGGCUCCAUACGCCGAAGCGACGAGCGCCGCACCUGUUGGGUGGGUGCGAGGAGGCGGCGCAGGGCCGCUGA